GUGAGUAUAGCUCAGUGGUAGAGCACAUGCUUAGCGUGCAUGAGGUCCUGGGUUCAAUCCCCAGUGCCUCCA
rnacentral:tRNA from 1 species